UAAACGACUCUCGGCAACGGAUAUCUCGGCUCUCGCAUCGAUGAAGAACGUAGCGAAAUGCGAUACUUGGUGUGAAUUGCAGAAUCCCGCGAACCAUCGAGUCUUUGAACGCAAGUUGCGCCCGAAGCCAUUAGGUUGAGGGCACGUCUGCCUGGGCGUCUCACG
rnacentral:rRNA from 15 species